rnacentral:misc_RNA from 1 species
GAUGAAGAACGCAGCGAAAUGCGAUACGUAAUGUGAAUUGCAAAUUCAGUGAAUCAUCGAGUCUUUGAACGCACAUUGCGCCCCCUGGUAUUCCGGGGGGCAUGCCUGUCCGAGCGUCAUUGCUGCCCUCAAGCACGACUUGUGUGUUGGGCCCCGUCCUCCGAUCCCGGGGGACGGGCCCGAAAGGCAGCGGCGGCACCGCGUCCGGUCCUCGAGCGUAUGGGGCUUUGUCACCCGCUCUGUAGGCCCGGCCGGCGCUUGCCGAUCAACCCAAAUUUUUAUCCAGGUUGACCUCGGAUCAGGUAGGGAUACCCGCUGAACUUAAGCAUAUCAAUAAGCGGAGGA